CAAGUCGAACGCCCCGCAAGGGGAGUGGCAGACGGGUGAGUAACGCGUGGGAAUCUACCGUGCCCUGCGGAAUAGCUCCGGGAAACUGGAAUUAAUACCGCAUACGCCCUACGGGGGAAAGAUUUAUCGGGGUAUGAUGAGCCCGCGUUGGAUUAGCUAGUUGGUGGGGUAAAGGCCUACCAAGGCGACGAUCCAUAGCUGGUCUGAGAGGAUGAUCAGCCACAUUGGGACUGAGACACGGCCCAAACUCCUACGGGAGGCAGCAGUGGGGAAUAUUGGACAAUGGGCGCAAGCCUGAUCCAGCCAUGCCGCGUGAGUGAUGAAGGCCUUAGGGUUGUAAAGCUCUUUCACCGGAGAAGAUAAUGACGGUAUCCGGAGAAGAAGCCCCGGCUAACUUCGUGCCAGCAGCCGCGGUAAUACGAAGGGGGCUAGCGUUGUUCGGAAUUACUGGGCGUAAAGCGCACGUAGGCGGAUAUUUAAGUCAGGGGUGAAAUCCCAGAGCUCAACUCUGGAACUGCCUUUGAUACUGGGUAUCUUGAGUAUGGAAGAGGUAAGUGGAAUUCNAGUGUAGAGGUGAAAUUCGUAGAUAUUCGGAGGAACACCAGUGGCNAAGGCGGCUUACUGGUCCAUUACUGACGCUGAGGUGCGAAACGUGGGGAGCAAACAGGAUUAGAUACCCUGGUAGUCCACCCGUAAACGAUGAAUGUUAGCCGUCGGGCANUAUACUGUUCGGUGGCGCACUAACGCAUUAAACAUUCCCCUGGGGAGUACGGUCCCAGAUUAAAACU
rnacentral:rRNA from 1 species